CUCAUUUAGUUGUUGCUAAUGGUCAAUAGAGUAUAUGAGUAAUGAGGGAUAUCCUACAAGGUUAGUUGCUGGUCUAUAGUGCCUUAGAAUACAAGGAGAGGGCUGGUCCUAAGAGAUAUCCCAUAUAGGUUGUAACACAUGGUACCUUGGUACUAGUAUAUAAGAAAAGGGUUGGCAUGGGAAGAAUCAUCUCAUACCACAUUCUAUUCUAUUUGUGAAGUGCAACCUUGCUGGUCCUAACUUGCUUGUGUGGAGUUUGCUUUCUAUGUUUCAAUAGGUUAUGGGCCCACACUCUCUUACCAAGUAAGUUGUUCUUG
rnacentral:lncRNA from 1 species